rnacentral:rRNA from 1 species
AACGAACGCUGGCGGCAGGCCUAACACAUGCAAGUCGAGCGCGCCCUUCGGGGUGAGCGGCGGACGGGUGAGUAACGCGUGGGAACGUGCCCUUCUCUGCGGAAUAGCCUCGGGAAACUGAGAGUAAUACCGCAUACGCCCUUUGGGGGAAAGAUUUAUCGUAGAAGGAUCGGCCCGCGUUGGAUUAGGUAGUUGGUGGGGUAAUGGCCCACCAAGCCGACGAUCCAUAGCUGGUUUGAGAGGAUGAUCAGCCACACUGGGACUGAGACACGGCCCAGACUCCUACGGGAGGCAGCAGUGGGGAAUCUUAGACAAUGGGGGCAACCCUGAUCUAGCCAUGCCGCGUGAGUGAUGAAGGCCUUAGGGUUGUAAAGCUCUUUCAGCUGGGAAGAUAAUGACGGUACCAGCAGAAGAAGCCCCGGCUAACUCCGUG